ACGCAGUAUCUUAUGCCCUUAAGAUCGGUACCGGGUCUUUUUUGCCGUCAUGGAAUCUGUAGUUUGGUCGCGUGGCUUUGCUUCUGUUGUUGUGGACAUUGUGCACGGUAACGAGUGCACAGGUUAUGUUAACUCAUAGACGAUCUGGGAUCACUGGUCUAGUGCCCUCAGAGCUGCUUUUCUCUCUAUCCGUUUUGUUUCCUUGCGAUGGUCUUGCCUCGCAAAUGGCCAAACGAAACGACGAAAGAGCUCGCGAAAAGCUGCUUUGUUUCUGUACAAAGUCAGUGUCGAAAACCUCUUGAGUGUAAGUGCACCGAUGCAGCUCUGCCGAUCCUGCUUGGGGAGAUAAAACUAUUGACACUGAAAUAUGAAGUGUAGAGUGAGCCAGAUAAGAUUGUUCCUUCCUACACCUAGAGCUCGAUUGGUGAUGAUGCCUGCCGUCUGAUCGAUCGCGACCACAUCGAGUGUGGUUCUCAGUUCAGUUGACAUGUGAGGUGCCGUGGUGGAGACGGAGUUCGGUUUGCAUGCUACUGCGCCGGAGCGAAAUGUUCCUCUUGCUCGAUGUCCACUUUAUAGGACAGGACCACUGAAUAGCCACAGUGAUAUAGAGUAGGGAUGAAAAUAGAGUGGAAACUUUCUGCUUUUCUGGCAAAAAAUGGAAAUGAAUUUUUUUUAUGCGGAAACAAAAACAAAAACGGAGUACUAGGAAAGAUAUGAUUUACAAGCAUUGAUUGAAGUAUGAGUAACAAUGACAAGCCUGGCACAUAUUGACUCUUUACCCUUUUUAGUUGUUUUUUUCCACAUGGUUUAACAACAAUUCACAUAACAGUACUGGAACGAAACCGGGUCUGAACUUUGAACACUCUUGUUACCACAUCAAACAGAGGCAUACGGAUGUUUGAACAACUCAUUUUGUGUCCUUUGCGUCUGUCUUCUCCUCUUGGUCCGCUUGGUGUCCACCGGCGUCAGUGAUAGCCAUCGUGUGCGUCACUUUGGCGGGCUGUGGAGCUCCUGCCAUGGAAAGCAUUUGCAUGGCCUGAUCUACAAUCACCUUCCGCGUCACCUCUAGCAGCACCUCUUCCAACUCAUUGUCGAGCGUAAAGCUUUCACGACGGCCGGGGAACUUAGCGCCGCCGAAGAUGCUCGCCGGAGAUAUGAGCGUCGGUUGGUAAUCCCAAAGCUCCACCGAAGCGGGGACAAAGAUACCUUGUAGUGGCUUUGCCGUCGCCCAUGUGCAGGCUAGCUGUGGUCACAAAGCAGCUCAUGGUCCGAUGAGAACACCGUCCUCGGUUCGCGGCAGCCAGCGGCACCACCAUGAGUUGGGCUUGGGCGCGACUAAAGCCGUGCUGACGAGGCCGUCCUUCCAAACCCUAGGAAGCGGCGGUCAACGCCCUCUCCGGCGUGCGGCAACGGCAGGGAGAACCGCACCUCCUCCUUGGUGGCCGGAUUGAAGACAACGCCGUCGACGGCCGGCCGCCCAUUGGAAUGGGCGGAAUCGUCGGCCAAGAGGACCAGCCCGUCGCACGUGCCGGCGUACGUGCCUCUGUCGAGGCUGACCGUGUGCUUGACGGCGAACGUGGGGCCGACGGCGUGGAAGUAGAAGCGUUUGUCGAGGCGGUACAGGCAAGCGGCACGAGGGAGCUCCGAGUGUGCGCCGAGGCGUCGGUGGUGGCGCCAGAAGUGUGGUAGCGUGAGGAGCUCCCGGAAGCGGUUGGAGAGAAGGACGCAGCGCACGGCGUGGCGGGCUGGCAGCCGGGCGAGGAUCUCAUCAGCGACGAACUCGUCCCCCAUGAGGAAGAGGGCCUGGUUUAUUUGAGACGCCAUUGCUUCAACGAGUUGCUCGUCUUUUCAUCUUUUGUGGACCAACCGACGGCCUACGUAUGUACUCGGCGCCUGUCCGUAUAUACAGCGGAAGCAUAUAAAGAGAACCGAUGUAGUAUUGCAGAAGCAUAUAAAAAGAGGACUAUAGUUUUGACCGUGUGGCUCUGCUUGUGUUAUUGUGGACAUUCUGCAAUCUGCACGCCAGUGAGUGGUGGCAUCCUGUAUUAGCCAGUGUCCCUGUUGAUUUUUGAAUGUGAACCGUUGCUUGCCACCUUCCCCACGUUGGGUUAAAUCACAAAAGAUCUGGGAUCACUGGCCUAGUGACCACAGAGCUUCCUUUGUCUCAAUCCGUUUUCUUCCCUUGUGUUGGUCUUGUGCUUUUCUGUCUCGCAAAUGGCCAAACGAGACGCCGAAAGAGCUCGCGAAAGGCAAAAGCUGCUUUGUUUCUAUACAAAUCGUGCUGUCUAAAACCUAAUGAUAGGCUGCGUGAGUCUCUUGAUUGAACAGCGUGCCAAUCCUACUUGAAAAAAAAAAGCCUAUUUACACUGAAAUACCAAGUGUAAACUCAGAGUGAGUCGGAUUGUUCAUUGCAUUAAUUGAAUGAAGUGCUCCUGCACCUAGAGCUUGCUUGCUGGUGAUGCUGCCUGCCGUCUGAUCGACCGCGACCACACCGAAUGUCGCUCUUGUUCUCAGUUAUGUCAUGUUAGGUGCUGUUAUGGAGAUCAAGAGUCCACUUUGCAUUGCAUGGUGAUGGUGCUGCACCGCGAAAUGUCCAUCAUCAUCAUCAUCGUGUAUCCCCGCAAAAUAAAAAUGAUGCUGUAUUCAUCGAACCCGCUUUGCAACCCGUAUUAGGGCGUUCGCCCAGCAAAAGCUUUAAUUUUGCGUGUCCAGGAGAAAUACAUUGCUUCCAAUUUUCAGCUUGGUGCCUACUGCCUAGCAUGUAUAGUAGGUGGAGAUUUGCUUUUCCAUCCAAGAUUUUUCUGAAGUUGAGCGUGUGCGGUGCCUCUCGCGUGAGACCCAGCUGCUAACCGUCCUCCGUUAUUACGCACGCAUCAGCAAUCCCACCAUUUCCCGCCUCCUUGUCCUAUCCUGCGCACACGCACUGCCUUUGUAUAUAACCGUGACCUCCUGCACUCCAGCUUCCAGCAGACUACUCAUAACUCGGGCCGCUCUCUCGGCGUACGUGUGAUCAUCUCGCCACGACAGAGCAGCGAGGCCACCGAGGUGAGGCGGGGACGUAGCGUACACAUGGCGAAGUUUGCUCUAGGGCACCACAGCGAGGUCACCGAGGCCGGCUGCGUGCGCGCCGUGCUCGCCGAGGCCGUGCUCACCUUCCUCUUCGUCUUCUCUGGCGUCGGCUCCGUCAUGGCCGCCGGUACGUAUGUAGUACAGUGAUGGCUGGAAACGCGUCCAUGCAUGCAUGUGUACCGAGAGUCUGGAACUACAAGUACAUGUGUUAUGUGUGUGCAGGGAGGCUGGCCGGCGGCGCCGACACGAUCAUGGGCCUGACGGCGGUCGCGCUGGCCCACGCUAUGGCGGUGGCCGUCAUGGUGUCGGCAGGGCUUCACGUCUCCGGCGGCCACAUCAACCCAGCCGUCACGCUCUCCCUCGCCGCAGGCGGCCACAUCACCCUCUUCCGCUCCGCGCUCUACGUGCUCGCGCAGCUGCUCGGCUCCUCCCUCGCCUGCCUCCUCCUCGCCUUCCUCACCGGCGGCGCGGUGACCAUGCCAGUGCACGCGCUGGCCGCCGGGGUGGGCGCGCCGCAGGGGGUGCUCUGGGAGGCCGUGCUCACCUUCUCGCUGCUCUUCACGGUGUACGCGACCGUCGUGGACCCGCGCCGGAGCGUCGGCAACCUCGGACCGCUACUGGUGGGCCUCGUCGUCGGCGCCAACGUGCUCGCCGGAGGGCCAUUCUCCGGCGCGUCUAUGAACCCGGCACGUUCAUUCGGGCCCGCGCUCGCCUCAGCGAAUUGGGCCAGUCAGUGGGUCUAUUGGGUUGGGCCGAUGGUCGGUGGCCUGCUCGCGGGGCUAGUAUAUGAGGGAUUGUUCAUGGUCCGGCCCGGCCACCAGCAGCUUCCCACCGAUGGCACCGACUUCUAGUUGAACACUGAUAUUCACUUUUCUCUACGCAUGGACAGCUUGAUACGCUAUAUCUUGUGAAAAUCGUCCAGAACUCGUCAGCUGUCUAGCAGCGUUCUUUUGUUGUUUGAUUUGCCCAAGAACAUCACGCCGCUAGGUGCUUUAUUUAGAGAAAAUAAGAGUCAUGUUGUGUGCUAGUUUGGAAAAUUCUAAAAUAUCUGAUGUACCAAGAUCAAGUAAUGUAGUAGCUCAUGAACUAGCUCUGCGUAGCGCUCAAUUAGGGAACAACAGUGAGGUGUGGGUUGGACAUCUACCACAGUUUAUACUAAACAUUUGUGCUAGUGACAUGUUAAAAAAAAAA
rnacentral:lncRNA from 1 species